GUUUGCUGAGUAAGGUCUCCCGAUUGCGCAAUAACACCCUGUGAUUGUUGACUGAAAUCCUCCGUCUGUUGGGUCAGAUCCUGUGUUUGCUGGGUAAGAUCCUGUGUUUGCUGGGUAAGAUCCUCCGUUUGUUGGGUAAGAUCCUGUGUUUGCUGACUAAGGUCUCCCGAUUGCUCAAUAGCACCCUGUGAUUGUUGACUAAAGUCCUCCGUCUGUUGGGUCAGAUCCUGUGUUUGCUGGGUAAGAUCCUCCGUUUGUUGGGUAAGAUCCUGUGUUUGCUGAGUAAGGUCUCCCGAUUGCUCAAUAACACCCUGUGA